rnacentral:rRNA from 1 species
CGUAGGUGGCGAGCGUUGUCCGGAAUUACUGGGCGUAAGGGCGCGUAGGCGGCUCUUUAAGUCAGAUGUGAAACCCAGGGCUUAACUCUGGGACUGCAUUUGAAACUGAAGGGCUUGAGUGCAGGAGAGGUAAGUGGAAUUCCUAGUGUAGCGGUGAAAUGCGUAGAUAUUAGGAGGAACACCAGUGGCGAAGGCGACUUACUGGACUGUAACUGACGCUGAGGCGCGAAAGCGUGGGGAGCAAACAGGAUU